rnacentral:rRNA from 1 species
GUGAGGAAUAUUGCGCAAUGGAGGCAACUCUGACGCAGCCAUGCCGCGUGAAUGAUGAAGGUCUUAGGAUUGUAAAAUUCUUUCACCGGGGACGAUAAUGACGGUACCCGGAGAAGAAGCCCCGGCUAACUUCGUGCCAGCAGCCGCGGUAAUACGAAGGGGGCGAGCGUUAUUCGGAAUCACUGGGCGUAAAGCGUGCGUAGGCGGUCUCGUAAGUUAGGAGUGAAAGCCCAGGGCUCAACCUUGGAAUUGCUCUUAAAACUGCAAGGCUAGAAUCUCGGAGAGGAUAGCGGAAUUUCCAGUGUAGCAGUGAAAUGCGUAGAUAUUGGAAGGAACACCAGUGGCGUAAGCGGCUAUCUGGACGAGUAUUGACGCUGAGGCACGAAAGCGUGGGGAUCAAACAGGAUUAGAUACCCUGGUAGUCC